AACGAACGCUGGCGGCAGGCCUAACACAUGCAAGUCGAACGGGACCUUCGGGUCUAGUGGCGGACGGGUGAGUAACGCGUGGGAACGUGCCCUUUGGUUCGGAAUAGCCCCGGGAAACUGGGAGUAAUACCGGAUAAGCCCUACGGGGGAAAGAUUUAUCGCCAAAGGAUCGGCCCGCGUUGGAUUAGGUAGUUGGUGAGGUAAUGGCUCACCAAGCCGACGAUCCAUAGCUGGUCUGAGAGGAUGAUCAGCCACACUGGGACUGAGACCCGGCCAAGACUCCUACGGGAGGCAGCAGUGGGGAAUCUUAGACAAUGGGGGAAACCCUGAUCUAGCCAUGCCGCGUGAUCGAUGAAGGCCUUAGGGUUGUAAAGAUCUUUCAGUGGGGAAGAUAAUGACGGUACCUGGAUAAGAAGCCCCGGCUAACUUCGUGCCAGCCGCCGCGGUAA
rnacentral:rRNA from 1 species